GGGAAACAGCCAGUUACCUGCUGCUGUGCGGCCAAUGAACUGAACCUCACGUGGCGCAGCGUUUCCUCAAGGAUAACAGGUUUCACCCCUUCCGGCUGACUGCCACCAUUUUUGAGAAGGGAGAAAAUUAGUCAGCUAAAGCCCACCUAGAACACAUGGACAGCAACAAGCCCCACCGCUGCUGGCAUCAGCAUGUAAACACUGACUCAUACAGACGCAGAC